AACGAACGCUGGCGGCAUGCCUAACACAUGCAAGUCGAACGAUACCUUCGGGUCUAGUGGCGCACGGGUGCGUAACGCGUGGGAACCUGCCCUUAGGUUCGGAAUAACUCCCCGAAAGGGGUGCUAAUACCUGAUAAUGUCUUCGGACCAAAGAUUUAUCGCCUUUGGAUGGGCCCGCGUUGGAUUAGCUAGUUGGUAGGGUAAAAGCCUACCAAGGCGACGAUCCAUAGCUGGUCUGAGAGGAUGAUCAGCCACACUGGGACUGAGACACGGCCCAGACUCCUACGGGAAGCAGCAGUGGGGAAUAUUGGACAAUGGGCGAAAGCCUGAUCCAGCAAUGCCGCGUGAGUGAUGAAGGACUUAGGGUUGUAAAGCUCUUUUACCCGGGAUGAUAAUGACAGUACCGGGUGAAUAAGCUCCGGCUAACUCCGUG
rnacentral:rRNA from 1 species